AGCGAACGCUGGCGGCAGGCUUAACACAUGCAAGUCGAACGGGCUUCUUCGGAAGUCAGUGGCAGACGGGUGAGUAACACGUGGGAACGUGCCCUUCGGUUCGGAAUAACUCAGGGAAACUUGAGCUAAUACCGGAUACGCCCUUUUGGGGAAAGGUUUACUGCCGAAGGAUCGGCCCGCGUCUGAUUAGCUUGUUGGUGGGGUAACGGCCUACCAAGGCGACGAUCAGUAGCUGGUCUGAGAGGAUGAUCAGCCACACUGGGACUGAGACACGGCCCAGACUCCUACGGGAGGCAGCAGUGGGGAAUAUUGGACAAUGGGCGCAAGCCUGAUCCAGCCAUGCCGCGUGAGUGAUGAAGGCCUUAGGGUUGUAAAGCUCUUUUGUCCGGGACGAUAAUGACGGUACCGGAAGAAUAGGCCCCGGCUAACUUCGUG
rnacentral:rRNA from 1 species